CAGAAAAGACCAAACAUACCUUUGCCGCGACACAACGUCCUCUUCCUUCUCCUUCUCAUCCUCGCUACGGGGCGGCGCGGCUGCGGCGGCAGCGGCGGCGGCGGAGAGGCGAUCAAUCGACGCAGACGAAGGUGUACUGAUCCUCCUCAAUAAGUUGGAGCAGGAGUUAUCAUGGCAAGCCUUGCUGAUUCUUUCUUAGCAGAUCUUGAUGAACUGUCAGACAAUGAAGCCUAUCCUGAAGAAGAAAAUGCUGAGGCAGUGGGUAUGGAUGAGGAUGGCGGUGAAGAUAUGCUUGACCUUGAGUCUCUUAAUUAUGAUGAUCUUGACAGUGUCUCAAAGCUGCAGAAGACACAGUGUUAUAAUGACAUAAUGCAGAAAGUUGAGGAUGCACUUCAGAAAGGCACAGACUUCUCCAAUCAAGGGUCCAUCUUGGAGGAGGAUCCAGAAUACCAGCUUAUUGUUGAUUUCAAUGCUUUGUCAGUAGAUAUUGAGAAUGAAAUCAUUAUAAUACAUAAUUUCAUACGCGACAAGUAUAGACUGAAGUUUCCUGAACUGGAAUCCCUUGUUCAUCAUCCUAUUGACUAUGCCCGUGUUGUUCAGAAGAUUGGAAAUGAGAUUGAUUUGACACUCGUAGACCUGGAAGGGCUUUUACCUUCUGCAAUUAUAAUGGUUGUGUCAGUGACAGCAUCAACAACUAACGGGAAGCCUCUUUCUGAGGAGAAUCUGGCAAAAACCAUUGAAGCAUGUGAGAGAGCCCUUACUCUUGAUGCUGCAAAGAAGAAGGUGCUUGAUUUUGUCGAGAGCAGAAUGGGUCGCAUUGCACCAAACCUUUCUGCUAUUGUUGGCAGCGCUGUUGCCUCAAAACUAAUGGGAACUGCUGGUGGUUUGGGAGCACUUGCAAAAAUGCCUGCUUGCAAUGUUCAGUUACUUGGGGCAAAGAAGAAGAAUCUUGCUGGAUUUUCUAGUGCCACAUCUCAGUUUCGUGUUGGCUAUCUUGAACAAACUGAAGUAUUUCAGAGCACACCUCCAGCUCUGAGAACUAGUGCUUGCAGACUUAUAGCUGCAAAAUCAACUCUAGCUGCAAGAAUCAAUUCAAUCAGAGGUGAUCCAACUGGAAAAGCUGGCCGGAACUUGUUAGAAGAAAUUCGUAAGAAGAUUGAGAAGUGGCAAGAACCGCCUCCUGCAAAGCUUCCAAAACCACUUCCUGUUCCAGACUCUGAGCCUAAAAAGAAGAGAGGAGGCCGUCGGCUUCGGAAAAUGAAAGAAAGAUAUGCGCAGACUGACAUGAUGAAGCUUGCGAACCGAAUGCAGUUUGGGGUACCAGAAGAAAGCUCAUUAGGUGAUGGCUUGGGGGAAGGCUAUGGCAUGCUUGGACAGGCAGGAAGCGGGAAACUACGUGUAUCAGCUGCGCAAAGCAAACUUGCUGCUAAAGUGGCCAAAAAAUUCAAGGAGAAGAGCUAUGGUAGCAGUGGUGCAACAUCUGGACUGACGUCUAGUUUGGCCUUUACACCAGUUCAGGGAAUAGAACUAUCAAAUCCCCAGUCCCAUGGGAACCUGCUAGGCAGUGGAACACAAAGCACUUACUUUUCUGAGACUGGAACAUUUUCAAAGAUCAAGAGGAACUGAGCAGAGAAGUUGGUCUCUUCAUCCCACCCACUGCAUCCGUUUUACCCACAGGAAAGGCCAACGGAUUGACACUAGAAGGAAUUCAUCAAACUCGGUGAGCUGGCACUUGAGAUAGGACGAAGAUGACAAGGAUUUUAUCCACAGAUGCAUCUUGAUUUGAGGAUAAAUUAAUGAAUCAAUCAAGUAAUACUCUGGAUGUGUUUGGGAGCUGAUGCUGAGGCAGAGGCAGAGGUCGAGGCAGCAGAAUCAUCUCCAUGGCCUUGACGGUUAUCAGGAUGCUUCACAUCUGGAUGGUUGGGAGCUGAGACUGAGGCACAGGUUGAGGCAGCAUCAGCAUCCAAGCUUCCAGCAGCGUCUCCCUGGCCUUGACGGUUACCAUGAUGCUCCAAAUCUGGAUGGUUGGGGUGAUCUUUUAGAGCAAUUUCCACCUUAUCUGGGUUGCAGUCACCAUGAAGCUCAAAUGAUCGCAAGCUCGGAAGACGCUCAAUUCCAGAAAUGGAUUUCAUCUCCCUGAAACUCCAAACAAUUUUUUCCAACUUAGGAUUCUUGCUGAAGCUGAUAUCGGUAAUGUCUUCGCCGUGGAUGAGAAGAACCUUGAGAUGCUGGAACUGUUUUUCCCCAAGGGUGAGCUUGCUUUGGACAUAUGACCUGCACCGGAGCCGGAGAUACCGCAGUGCUUUGAGAUUGCCAACAACUGCCAUAUCUUGUUCUCCUAGAUGAGUGUCGCAAAGAGUUAACUUCGCAAGUCGGCUGAGCUCCUUGAUCCAACGAGGCAGCCCACAUCUUAUGCCGCAUAUGUUCAGGCUCUCAAGAAGCUUUGGAUAUGAGAAUGCUGUAGGCUCUGCCAUGUUCAUGUCAGGAAAAUUCUCGCAUCCAUCUGGUACUUCAACACGGAUUGACAGAGAGAUGAGACUUUUAUGCAACUUCUCAAUUGCCUGGACUAAGUGCUUGAAGCUGUUUUGGUCACCAUGGAAGACCACACCUAGCUUCCUAAGUUGUAGUAGCUUCCCAAUGUCCAUCAGCUCAUCUUCUAUGCCAGAAACAACAACAUGGCACAAUACCUGCAGAUUUGUCAUGCUUCCGAUCCCACGUGGCAUACGCACUGUGGAAAAUUUUUCGGUCUGUUCAUUUUGUUGUUGGGUGUAUCCAGAGAGCAAAUGUUUUAGCAUUGGAAGAACUAAAGAUUUUGUAGCGAAUGAGCUCACGGUUGUUUCUCUGAUGUCCAGUGUCUCCAGCUGCUGGAGAUUUUGAAUUUUCUUGGGAAGUUUGGUGAGCUUACUUCUUCGAAGGUUCAGAUACCUGAGCUGAAAUAGUUUGCAGAUGUUCUCCAGAUGAUGGUCCUUUAAGCCAUCACAGCCUUCUAGAUCCAGCACUUUGAGCAAUCCCAGCCGAGAGAAUGCUGGCAAUGACUUCAGAAAAAUUGUGAGGUCAUCCAAGGGCUGAUCAUAAUGCUUGCGCAUGUUCCAGCAUGAGGAAGAACUGGGGCGUGGAGAAGCCUGAAGCUCUGCUAGGACCUGUUGCAGCUGACUCCUGUUCCAAAUCGAAACACGGUGUGCAAAAUCUGGCUGAAGAUCUGCAUCCACAAAGUUAUCCUCUCUAGCAACCUUGGUGAUGAACUUUGAGAUCAAGCCAUUCACUGCACAGCUCUUGAUCUUCCCAGAAGCGCCGAUGUCUCUCUCAAGAACAAAUCUUUUUGCUAAGAGCACACCAAAGCAUCGCUCGGCUUCAUCCAGCGCUGUCUGCCCGUUUCGUUCUGUGUUUAUGCUCUCAGCAGCCCAUCUUCUGACUAAGCUUGUUCUCCUGAUCAUCAUAGUACUGUUGCUACUGCUUCCAUCAUCUUGGAUAAAUAGAGAGAGAUACGUCAAGCAGCUCUUGUAAUGGACAGGCAGGUCGUUGUACCAGAACAUCAGGAUUUGCUGCAUGUUUUCAUCCAGCAUUAAACCAUGUGAAUCAUGCAGGCUAUCACACAAGCCCUGAAGUUCUUCCCUGUUCCUGUUAGGAUUGGCAUAAAGGACAUGGAGGAAUGCUCUGAUGCACAUGUCAGUGGAGUUGGAGGCACAUUUUGACAGUAUGGAUCUAAUCACUUCAUCCAGGUUACCGUUGCUGGGAUAGUUUUCAACCAGGGAGACAGCCUUGGCAUGGAAGAAGUCGAUGAGAUGAUCCAGAGGAGGGAAGACUCUGUCAUGUGGUGAACAGGAGUAGGCUACGGCAGGUGACCGGGUUGUCAGCAGGAUGGCACUGUGAGCCGUGUUGCCGGGGAAAGCUGAUUCGAUGCCACGCCAUAGCGAUUCAUCAGGAACAUCAUCAAGAACAAUUAGGUAGCUCUUAUCUUUCAGGAAGUUCUCCAUCAUCUCCUGAAAUGUCAUUCCUUGAUGAAAUCCCAUCUCGGAUGCCAUCGUUUCUGAAAUAAUCUUGGCAACGUCCAUUGCAAAUCCUUCAUGAACUUCCAUUGCCGCUGCUUGUAGAAAUCCCUCCUCCUCCUCCUCCUCCUCCUCCUUGUCGGAUGCUGUUCCACCGAUAAAUUCCUUCACCUCGUCAAACGUCGUUCCUACAGGAAAUUUGUUCCCCUUUGAGCCCAGAUUUUUUCUCGAAAAAUUUGAGACCACAAUUCUCUUCUUUUUCUUCUUCAGCCGCGUAUAUCUCCUCUUGUUCCUCUUGUCGUAAUCGGAUACCAUCCCUCCCAGCGCCCGAUGCAUGUGCUGAAUCAUAGGGAGUAUUUGUGUCAUCAUGUCUUGGUAAACCCAGCCGGGAUGAGAUUGGCCGCUGUGCCACUGCCUGAUUUGGAACAA